rnacentral:rRNA from 1 species
GGGUUCGAUUAAGCCAUGCGAGUCGAGAGGGUUCGGCCCUCGGCGUACUGCUCAGUAACACGUGGAUAACCUGCCCUAAGGAAGGGGAUAACCCCGGGAAACUGGGGAUAAUACCCUAUAGGUUACAGAUGCUGGAAUGCUCUGUAACUCAAAGUUCCGACGCCCUAGGAUGGAUCUGCGGCCGAUUAGGUUCUUGUUGGGGUAAUGGCCCAACAAGCCCGUAAUCGGUACGGGUUGUGGGAGCAAGAGCCCGGAGUUGGAUUCUGAGACACGAAUCCAGGCCCUACGGGGCGCAGCAGGCGCGAAAACUUUACAAUGCGGGCAACCGUGAUAAGGGAACCUCGAGUGCCUGUAAAUGCAGGCUGUUCAGGUGCCUAAAACACACCUGAAGAAAGGGCCGGGCAAGACCGGUGCCAGCCGCCGCGGUAAUACCGGCGGCUCUAGUGGUGGCCCCUUUUAUUGGGCUUAAAACGUUC